CACAAGCGGUGGAGCAUGUGGUUUAAUUCGAUGCAACGCGAAGAACCUUACCUGGUCCUGACAUCCCGGAGACCCUUAGGAAACUAGGGGGUGCUUCCAUCUGGAAGAAUCUGGAGACAGGUGCUGCAUGGCUGUCGUCAGCUCGUGUCGUGAGAUGUUGGGUUAAGUCCCGCAACGAGCGCAACCCUUGCCUUUAGUUGCCAGCAGUUCGGCUGGGCACUCUAAAGGGACUGCCGGUGUUAAACCGGAGGAAGGUGGGGAUGACGUCAAGUCCUCAUGGCCUUUAUGACCAGGGCUACACACGUACUACAAUGGCCGAUACAAAGGGCAGCGACACUGCGAGGUGAAGCCAAUCCCGUAAAAUCGGUCUCAGUCCGGAUUGGAGUCUGCAACUCGACUCCAUGAAGUUGGAAUCGCUAGUAAUCGUGGAUCAGCAUGCCACGGUGAAUACGUUCCCGGGCCUU
rnacentral:rRNA from 1 species